rnacentral:sRNA from 1 species
AUAAUCAAGAGAGCCCAUUUCAAUAAAAAAGAGGGGGGGGAGAGAGAACAACAAUAUAAAAAUUUAAAAAUCUUUAUUAAAUUAGAAACAAGAAAAUCACAGCAGGAGGGCAAGGAGCUUUGAUGAUGGUCAAGUUAAAAGAGAAGAGAAAUCUUCAAGGGGAAAGAAAUUCUUUUUGCUUCUCUGCACACAACCCCUGACAAUCAAAGAAUCCACCAAUUCCACCUCAUUAGGAAAUCGAUAACAACAUGUAUACAAGCUAUCUAGGGGACGCGAUCGAUAUACUGCUAUCAACAAGCAAAUGGGAAUGCAAUUAUCUACUAGCAAGCAAUCUAUACAAUCACUGAGGGC